GGAUGACACUUUUCGGAGCGUAAACUCCUUUUGUUAGGGAAGAAUAAUGACGGUACCUAACGAAUAAGCACCGGCUAACUCCGUGCCAGCAGCCGCGGUAAUACGGAGGGUGCAAGCGUUACUCGGAAUCACUGGGCGUAAAGGACGCGUAGGCGGAUUAUCAAGUCUCUUGUGAAAUCUAACGGCUUAACCGUUAAACUGCUUGGGAAACUGAUAAUCUAGAGUAAGGGAGAGGCAGAUGGAAUUCUUGGUGUAGGGGUAAAAUCCGUAGAUAUCAAGAAGAAUACCUAUUGCGAAGGCGAUCUGCUGGAACUUAACUGACGCUAAUGCGUGAAAGCGUGGGGAGCAAACAGGAUUAGAUACCCUGGUAGUCCACGCCCUAAACGAUGUAUACCGGUUGUUGCUGUGCUAGUCACGGCAGUAAUCCACCUAACGGAUUAAGUAUACCGCCUGGGGAGUACGGUCGCAAGAUUAAAACUCAAAGGAAUAGACGGGGACCCGCACAAGCGGUGGAGCACGUGGUUUAAUUCGAAGAUACGCGAAGAACCUUACCCGGACUUGAUAUCUAACAAAUCAUCCAGAGAUGGAAGAGUGUCUGCUUGCAGAAAUGUUAAGACAGGUGCUGCACGGCUGUCGUCAGCUCGUGUCGUGAGAUGUUGGGUUAAGUCCCGCAACGAGCGCAACCCACGUCAUUAGUUGCUAACGGUUCGGCCGAGCACUCUAAUGAGACUGCCUUCGUAAGGAGGAGGAAGGUGUGGACGACGUCAAGUCAUCAUGGCCCUUAUGUCCGGGGCGACACACGUGCUACAAUG
rnacentral:rRNA from 1 species